rfam:Trichomalopsis sarcophagae strain Alberta scaffold14680, whole genome shotgun sequence.
UCAACAGCUCUUUUCAGAGCUACAUUAUUUUUUGUCUAAUAAUCAUU